AGUUUGAUCCUGGCUCAGGACGAACGCUGGCGGCGUGCCUAAUACAUGCAAGUCGAGCGGAUUUAUCCUUCGGGAUAAGUUAGCGGCGGACGGGUGAGUAACACGUAGGCAACCUGCCUAUAAGACUGGGAUAACUAUCGGAAACGAUAGCUAAGACCGGAUAACUGAUUUUCUCGCAUGAGAAAAUUAUGAAACACGGAGCUAUCUGUGGCUUAUAGAUGGGCCUGCGGCGCAUUAGCUAGUUGGUAGGGUAACGGCCUACCAAGGCGACGAUGCGUAGCCGACCUGAGAGGGUGAACGGCCACACUGGGACUGAGACACGGCCCAGACUCCUACGGGAGGCAGCAGUAGGGAAUCUUCCGCAAUGGACGCAAGUCUGACGGAGCAACGCCGCGUGAGUGAUGAAGGUUUUCGGAUCGUAAAGCUCUGUUGCCCUAGACGAACAGCAAGAGGAGUAACUGCCUUUUGUGUGACGGUAUAGGAGAAGAAAGCCCCGGCUAACUACGUGCCAGCAGCCGCGGUAAUACGUAGGGGGCAAGCGUUGUCCGGAAUUAUUGGGCGUAAAGCGCGCGCAGGCGGUCAAUUAAGUUGGGUGUUUAAGCCCGGGGCUCAACCCCGGUUCGCAUCCAAAACUGGUCGACUUGAGUGUAGGAGAGGAAAGUGGAAUUCCACGUGUAGCGGUGAAAUGCGUAGAGAUGUGGAGGAACACCAGUGGCGAAGGCGACUUUCUGGCCUAUAACUGACGCUGAGGCGCGAAAGCGUGGGGAGCAAACAGGAUUAGAUACCCUGGUAGUCCACGCCGUAAACGAUGCAUACUAGGUGUCGGGGAUUCGAUUCCUCCGUGCCGAAAUUAACACAGUAAGUAUGCCGCCUGGGGAGUACGCUCGCAAGAAUGAAACUCCAAG
rnacentral:rRNA from 1 species